GAGUUGGGGAAAACCGUUGGAAACGACGGCGUAAUACCGGAUGACGGCGCCCCGUGACAUCACGGGAGCGCUAAAGGGGGCCGCAAGGCUCCCGCUCGAGGAGGGGCUCGCGCACCAUCAGCUUGUUGGCGGGUAACGGCCCACCAAGGCCUACGGUUAGCUGGUCUGAGAGGAUGACCAGCCCCACUGGGACUGAGAUACUGCCCAGACUCCUACGGGAGGCUGCAGUCGAGGAUCAUUUGCAAUGGGCGAAAGCCUGACAAUGCGACGCUGCGUGGGAAGGAUGAAGGCCUUCGGGUUGUAAACUCCUGUCAUGGGGGAACAGGCGAGGGGACCCAACACGUCCCUUAGUUGAGUGUACCCCAAGAGGAAUUGGCGGCUAACUCUGUGCCAGCCGCUGC
rnacentral:rRNA from 1 species